AUGAACGCUAGCGACAGGCCUAACACAUGCAAGUCGAGGGGCAGCACAAGGAGCAAUCUGAGGUGGCGACCGGCGCACGGGUGAGUAACACGUAUGCAACCUGCCUGUAAGCGGGGAAUAACCCGUUGAAAGACGGACUAAUACCGCAUAAUACUAAAUUACUGCAUGGUAAUUUAUUUAAACAUUUAUGGCUUACAGAUGGGCAUGCGCAUGAUUAGCUAGUUGGAGAGGUAACGGCUCCCCAAGGCAAUGAUCAUUAGGGGUUCUGAGAGGAAGGUCCCCCACACUGGUACUGAGACACGGACCAGACUCCUACGGGAGGCAGCAGUGAGGAAUAUUGGUCAAUGGACGAGAGUCUGAACCAGCCAAGUCGCGUGCAGGAAGAAUGUCCCUAUGGAUUGUAAACUGCUUUUGCAGGGGAAUAAAGUGCAUCACGUGUGAUGUUUUGUAUGUACUCUGCGAAUAAGGAUCGGCUAACUCCGUGCCAGCAGCCGC
rnacentral:rRNA from 1 species